rnacentral:lncRNA from 1 species
AGGGCCAAAGUGUGCCCAAUGUCCCUCCAAGCCUUGGAACUCAACCUAGAAACUACAAUGACAUGUUUAGACCACAAAAUCAUUAAGAAUCAAAGGCUAGAAGUGAGUUCACGGCCAAGGCUGUUCUUGGGCCGUGAACUCCAUUUUUAGGUGCCAAAACACCCUAAAAGCCUUCCUUAAGCCAAGAGACUAGUUUAGACAUGUACCCUAAUGAGUUUAGGACUAGCAAACACCAUUAGAACACCAAGAGUAAGGUGUUCACGGCCCAAGAAGUUCCAUGGCCGUGAACUCCAAACAAUAGUGCCAAAUGGUGCUAUAAACUCUUCUAAAGCCUUGUACACUAGCAUAAUUUAGUUCCUAGUUAAAUUAGGGACUUGAAAACACCAAAAACACCCUCCCAAGGGAGAUUACGGCCGUAAUAUCCAAGGUAUAUGGUCCCAGGGCUGCAAACUCCUAAAAGGAGUUAUAUAAUGCCCUAAACUCUUCCGUAGACCAAGCCAUUAAGUAGGAAUUCUUAUUAGGGCCUUAUAGAGCAUCAAACAUAAAAUGGUCAUAUAAGUAUGAGCUUAUGACCGUAAACUCAUUUGGUAGUGCCAUUAGGGUCGUGAACUCCCUUAUGGAGUUUUCCUUGAACCCUACACACAAUAGCUUUUCCCUACCACACUUAGAUGCAAUCUUAGAGGCUAAUAACACUUGAUAAAGGUGUUUAGCAUGUCCUAGGGUGUCUUGAUUUGUUAUUAGUUGUUUAUAGACUAAUUUGAUACAUAUAUGUGAUAUUAUAUGUUAACUAGGAUCAUAGAGUGUGUUCAAGACUUCACUUGACACCUAGCCAUCCUACUUCUUCAGUUCUUCAGUACCACUCACAACAGGUGAGUUCAUACCCCUUACUCAAUGUUUUAAAUGUUUUUAAAUGUUUUAUGGGGGGGGGGGUACAAGUAGAAUCAUGCUAGUUAUUAUAUCAAUCACAUGAGAUUAAUAAGCAGCAUUUACAUGAUUUGCUACUCAUUAGCCGUUUUACCAAACAGUUUCUUCACAUGAUUUUCAUAAACGUUUUAUAUGUUUAAAACUCCUUAUUAAACUGUUCAUUAUGCACUAUAUGUUUCAUUUCAAACUCAUUUAUAAUUGUGUUUCAAACAAAUGUUUCUUUAUACUUAGACUGUUUUAUCAAACACAUGCUUUCAACCCGUUUUAUGGAUUGACAUCAAGUCGAUCUUUUCUUAGAUAGAAAUCAUGUUCAAAAGGUUUUACAAAACUUAUUUUAUGCUUUUAUAUUGUAAAUUUCAUGCCUAUAUAUGUAUAGUUAUAUAAGAAAUGUUGGAAGGACUAAGGAAGGCUAUCCACCCUAUUUCCUUUUCGCGCUUGAGAUGUGGUCUGGUGGGAUAUCGGGUACUCGUCCGAAGGUCGUUUAAAUAUUAGUUAUAUAUCCUGUGUACAUAUAUAGUCAUAAAGGUUCUUCCAGUUCAUUCAAUACCCUUGGGUAGCAAGGGUAUACAUCCAUGUUCAUACAUACCAAUUACAUUACUAGUAAGCUACCAUAUGGGUAGUUUAGGAAGAUAUUAGAACCAUUACUAGAACGCGAUAUCAUACAAUGAGUCAGUUCAUUCAUGAGUCAAUACUUGCUAGAUAGAGAGAACGUACAUUACAGCUAGUACACACAGCACAUUAUUAUACAUGCUAGAUAGAGAGAGAACACACAUUAUAGCUAGCACACGCAAAACAUUAUAGUACAUUACUAUAUAACUACAUGAGUACGUUUACAUGAUUACUUUUACAUGAGUACAUUUACAUGAUUACAUUUACAUGAGUACAUUUACUUAUAUACGUUUACAUAGAGAUCCUGUUAUAAGCAUGCCUAUAUAUGUAUAGUUAUAUAAAUAAUGUUUAAAGGACUUAGGAAGACUAUCACUAUCCACCCUAUUUCCUUUUCGCGCUUGAGAUGUGGUCUGGUGGGAUACAGAUAUCCGUCCGAAGUUCGUUUAAACAUUAGUCAUAUAUCAUGUGUACAUAUAUGGACAUAAUAGUUCCUUUCAGUCAGUUCAGUACCUUUGGGUAGCAAAGGCAUACGUUCAUAUACUUUUACAUGAUUACGCUUACAUGAGUACGUAUACAUUGAUACGUUUACAUGAGUGCGCUUACAUAUACGAUAGUAGGACAGACAUCACUAGGUGUUAUAGCAUGGAACAAGUUCAGGAUCUAACUAUACCAAUGAAUAGCAACGCUUUGUGAUAGUUAUAUCGGUAUACAUGAUCAUAGUAAUGUGGAUGUUCACGGCGUGCAAAUAUGCAGGGGUCAUGUAAAGGUCCCAAAAUCCCUUUGACAGCGGAGCGUCUAGCCUGGGAUCAAUCCAUCACAUUAUGCCUUAUCCCUCAAAUAAGGCAAUAGGAGUACAGAAGUAGUCACUUAUUACAAAUACUACAGUACUUAUAAGAAUUACCUUGGACUUAAGGUAAUUAGUACGGUUGUAGUUCGACACUACACCAUAGUACUAUUUCAUUUUCCCAUUACAUUCACUUCGUGAACAUUCACACGACGCACGGUAAUGUAGAAACUAUAUUUUUGGUUAAUGAUAGUCAGAUUUGGGAAAAAACACACUCUUACAAGAGACACACACAGACACUAGAUGCCUUGGUAGAAGGAUACGAUUAGUAGGAAACAUAGGGCUUCCUAGGAUCAUUCACAACAUUUUCAAUACUUAAAGUUCAUAUACAUACAAAUACUUACAUACAAAUUAAGACACUAAAAUACUUAUGAUCGCACCAGCUUUAAAGCUGAUACUCGCUAUCAAAAUAACUUGUACCCUCAGGUCAACCAUAGACAGGUAACGAUGCAAGGUUCAUGGAAGAUGGUGCUCGUUCUAGACGCAUAUUUCAUUUUGAUUUAUGCUUUAGUGUUUAUCAUAAUUUGACAGAACACACUUGUAUUAAAAUUAUAUUAUUAAUGCAAUGGAUGAAGUUGUUGCUUGUUUACUACUUUUCAUUAUUGUGAUACUGUACAUGACGUCCUCCGCCCCAGAACGUUUCCGCCGUUCUUGGUUUUGGGGUGUGACAGAGUGGUAUCAGAGCAUUGUUUAUAGUGAAUUAAGUAUAUCAACCCAUAAAAGAUAUACUAACUAUAAAUACANNNNNNNNNNNNNNNNNNNNNNNNNNNNNNNNNNNNNNNNNNNNNNNNNNNNNNNNNNNNNNNNNNNNNNNNNNNNNNNNNNNNNNNNNNNNNNNNNNNNNNNNNNNNNNNNNNNNNNNNNNNNNNNNNNNNNNNNNNNNNNNNNNNNNNNNNNNNNNNNNNNNNNNNNNNNNNNNNNNNNNUGAUCAACUAUAUUAUCCGAGGGUUGACUAGCAUGUGCCUAAGUGUAGUUGUGUGGUUGCAACAAGUCUAAAAUCUUACCAACCCUACCACAAUGAGAACAGUAGAACAUAACAUUAAACUUAAAAUACUAUAGGAGUAUUUGGUGUUACUAUAAGUACUUUAUACUUAAGAACUAAAACGGGAUCUUCAUUACUAAGUUGAUAGUUGCUAAGUGGAUACACUAAGGCUAUAUGUAAUUAGGAUGUUAUAGACUUAGAAUCUGUGAAAAUUUUACUUUACCCCUAUUCUGUGUGAAUUUGGAGUUAAGGUCACAUAUUCGAAGGCCUAUCAUGUUUCGAUUACGUAUAACUAGUAUGCACUUCACAAAUAGCGAUGUAACUAAUGAGGAUUUUCUAAAUAAUUAUCUAGAUAGUUCGUCUAAUAAUUAUUUUCUUACCCCAAUUCUCGCGUAGAUAACAUGGCUGGACUCCAUCCCCACGGCAACCAGUACCUUCCGAAUGAGGUCAUUGCUGGAUGGUUUGAAGAAGAACCAGAGAAUGAUCAUCAUAUCCUUAUGAAUGAUCACCAUGAUGAAGACCUUUCGGACGAUGCUAACUCCGAACCAGAGGUUGACAACCUACCCCAGGCAGCUCCCGUUCCAAUUCCUAACCCUCGUCCGUCUUUUCAUGGCCCGACGCCUGAGUGGGUGGAAUGCUUGGAAACAUGGAGCCAAGGACAAGACCAGCCCAUGCCAUUUAAUGGCGACCGAAGCUUUUACGACCUGAGCAAUGGGGGCUCAGCAGACAGAAUCUUGCCAAUCUUGGUCCGCAAAGUGGAUCGAAAUGAGAUUCAAGGCAGGACAGCCCUACAUCAGAUCACCGAAGUUGUCGUCGAUGCGAGAAUGCAUACCCUCCGCACCAUUCGUCUAGAAGAUGAUCGCGAGAGAUCAGAGAGAAACCAUGAAACCUUGCUGCAAGCACUGGUUGAGUCCCGAGCCGAAGUUAUAGAGCUCCGAGUACGCCAGAGGGUGUACGAAAGACACCUACUUGAUGUGGAACGUCAACUGCUGAACUGAGAGUUCACCAGAGGGAUGACCGUCGACAGUAGUAGAUGCCUUACUUUAUUUUCCUUAUUAAAAGGAAUCAUUUUUCUGUUUAUGCUCGAUGUGACAUUUUCUAUGAAACUAUUUUGUACUGUAAGUACUUUUGGUUAGGUCUUUAUGCUGUCAAGAACUAUCUUCUCUGGAUAUGAUGUAAGACCUUUUACAAGGUCAUUCUCCUAAACUUCUACGUCAUGAAUAUCAAAGAUAUUGACAGUCGGCUAACUUCUGUGUCAUUUCCUCUAUUCAAGUACUCUCAUCGUACUUUCAUUAGAGUUUAUCUGACACAUGCUUUAGUCAAGUCAUUGGACUAUAGCAAGUUAGCUCCGGAGACAUUUCCAAGUCUCUUUCAGUGGAUUGGAUCAUGUUAUUCACCAACCAACGAUACCUCGGCUUGAACGACAAACGUCUUGAGACCAUUCUACGAACUUACUUCCACCCAGUACUAGGACUGCAUCAUAGGGAUGUAGGUCAAACCUUCGCGAACACACUUCCAUUUCGUGCUAGGACUGCAUCAUAGGGAUGUAGGUCAAACUUUCGAGAACAUACUCUUACUCUUUUCUUGAGCAAUCGAAGUACAUCUAGGGUCAACCAGAAUCACUCACAAAAUCCUUAUAUUUCGUGCUAACAGAAUCAUGUCGUCAUCAAGAAACAAUCAGCUUCGUACGCACAUCUCUUUCUUCGAGAUCGCUUUUGCAGCAAAGACGUCAUAUUAGAAAACCGAAGUACUCAUGCAUGGAGUACCUCAUAUUUCUUUUCUUUCCGAAGAAAUCCCCGAAGUACCACUCGUACAGUACGUCAAGUUCAAUCCAAGGAUCCAUACGGUUGAUCUGUCGCUGAAGAAUGUAUACAUAAGAGUGAUAUAUAAUCAAGGUUCUACAGGUUUAGAAUUGAUGAUUCCACUUUAACUUCUUUUUCCUCAAUGGGAAGUGAGCUUAAAGAAGAAUCAAUUAUUCGACUACCUUUUCAAUCUUAAUUAUAUACGACUCGUAUACACGAUAUUGUGAUCGUUGAACCAAGUAUGAAUUCUAAUAUGAACUUCAGGACGGAGACUGCCCAAGACUACGAGUAAUCACAUCGUCAUGUGAACAAACUUAGAACCCAGUACGACUUCUGUAAACAAAUUUCCCUACAGUCUAAACACCUACGGAGAUACAAGAACAGCCAGGAUAACUUAGCGAACUACAGAGAAAUAGAAUUGGAAGGCUAGGAUCCUCACCCUGGAGAGCUCCGGUCUUAUUCUUCCAGAGGUCGAUGGAUUUGCAUCGUAUGUACCUCAGAUAUUGAGGACUCCGUCAAGAUUUUCCAUUAUAAAUCGUUGUCUCUGCCUCGCAUAGAUGAAUUGGUUGAGCAAACACAAGGAAAGAAUUACUUUCAGAAAUGGAUAUGAGAUCCGAAUAUCACCAGUUCGAGUGUUAGGGAAGGAUGUCCGGAAGACUACCUUCCGAACGCGAUGCGGACACUUCGAGUCCGUAGUGAUACCCCUCGGAUAGGACCAAUACGCCCAUAGUAUUCAUAGGCUAAAUGAGUAGGGUACGUCUUUCUUACUUGGAUCAGUUCGUCAUUUCUCCAUGUAAUGACUUACUUAUCUACCCUCGUAGUGAUAAGGAAUCCAUGGAAACAUUACCCUCGGAGGAACUUUCGCGAAGUUCUCUAAGCACGGGAGUUGAAAUUAAAGAGUCAGAUUCCUAAGACACACUAUUAGUGAUGUGGGAAUUUUUGAGUACUCUUUCAAUUUGUCAAAACCGUUGAGAAUUUGUCGACACUAGAGACGCCGACAGAAAUUCGCCAAAUUCUAGGUCUUGCAGACCUAGUAUCGUCGUCCGUUCAGAACUCCUCGCAAAUUACAGAAAGCCUUACGACUUUAACCCAACAGGGGGUGGCCCUUGACUGGGAAGUUAAUCAAGAGAAAGAACCUUUGGAAUUCCAAGUGAGAGACCAAAUUCUUUAGGAAGUCUCACUCUGGGAAUGGCUUAAUACACUUCAUAGAGCGUGGAAAGCUAAAUCCAAGAUAGUUAGGACCUCCGAGAUUCUUACCAGAAUCGGUCCUGUACCUUACAAACUAGACACGUACAUUUUACCCUUCGUGUCUUAAUCUUGAAACCAUGCCUUUCCGUUAGGACUUUCGUAAGCCACUCGACGAGAUCGAGAUUAACGAGAUCCACGCCUUUCUAUUAGAACCGUAGUGACCCUCGACCGAGAGGUCAAGCGGACGAAGCAACGCCAUCGCCAUUUAGUGAAGGUUCGUUGGGAUACCAACCGAGGACCCGAUUUCACUUAGGAGCGCGAGAACCAAUCGAUUAGGAAGUUUCCACCUCAUGACUUGAUCAUUCAUACCUACUUCCUUACCUAAAUUCUAAUUUCGGGACGAAAUUCCCUUUAACAGGGGGAUGAUGUGACAACCCGAAAUUUCCAUUACGUACAAAGCAUAUCGAGUUAGUAGAAAAUUAGAACAGUUACAGAGAAUUUCCAGACUUUUGGGUAUAAGUUUGAGUAUUUUAGGAUUUACACUUAAGGAGAUAUCAGAAGAGUGGAUGCACUAGUGUUUUGUGCAACACUGUUAUUUCAAAACCCUAUGAUAUUAGAGUUCAUUUCGUGAAUAAAAUAUUUUCUGCCAAAAAUCCCAGGACUAUAUAUAGGAUUCUGAACCAUAUUUAUUCAUUAGUUACACUUCCAACUAGAGAAAAGCCGANAGUUACAUUUCCAACUAGAGAAAAGCCGAAUUCUCUCUCAAGGAUCUUCGGACUUUCGUUCCGGAAAGUGAUUACUUCUAUCUAGUGUUGUUUUAAAGCUUUUUAUAUGCUUAAUACACUAAAAAUCAUAGGAAAACACUAAGAUCUGAGAGUUUACUGCCCAAGAACACCUUGGGGAGUAAACUCUUUUAUAAGGGCCAAAGUGUGCCCAAUGUCCCUCCAAGCCUUGGAACUCAACCUAGAAACUACAAUGACAUGUUUAGACCACAAAAUCAUUAAGAAUCAAAGGCUAGAAGUGAGUUCACGGUCAAGGCUGUUCUUGGGCCGUGAACUCCAUUUUUAGGUGCCAAAACACCCUAAAAGCCUUCCUUAAGCCAAGAGACUAGUUUAGACAUGUACCCUAAUGAGUUUAGGACUAGCAAACACCAUUAGAACACCAAGAGUAAGGUGUUCAUGGCCCAACAAGUUCCAUGGCCGUGAACUCCAAACAAUAGUGCUAAAUUGUGCUAUAAACUUUUCUA